GGAUAAUAGAUUGUUUUCACUUUCAUUUUUGUUUUCAGAGAUUUUUGCUACUCUUUAUGUCAAUCCCUCUCUUAAAAGAGCCAAUCCAUCGUUACUAUUCAUUUAUGAGAACCGUCUUCUCCAUUAGAACUGAUUAGGUACUGUUCAAGAACAGAUUUCCUACUGUUCAUUACUUUGUACCUCUUUAUAAAUGCUUUAUUCAUUUCACAAACCCUAGAACUCUCUUGAAACUUUUCCCUCCUCUUGCGACUCGUCCUAUGGCCUUGCCCUACUCUGUAGAUUAAGCCAAUGAUAGAUGCUAGAUCUUCAGGGUCUGGGUUUGGAAGAAGAAUAUCACGAAGUUGGAGGAAGAAUACCCCCAUUCAUCAGCAAAGGACCUGGUACAUAGUCCACAUUUUCUUCGGGUCCAAAGAAAGGGCUUCUAAAAAAGGUAUUAUUUUCUUCCAUGUCUUCAUUUUUUCCAAUUUGUUAAAAUUUUCAUUACUUGGUUGAGUUUGGAUUAUCAAUGGCUGCUCCUAUAAUAAGAGAGAUUUUACUUUGCCAAAUGUGAUUCUGUGUAAAAUUAUAUGUUUCGCCUUUUUUAAAUGUGAUUGAAAAAUUUUGUAGUUGAAGGUUUGUGGUAUGUUGACAUCGUGUUGAUUACUAAAACUUUGAUCCAUUUGAUUGACAAAUAUAGGAUUUUCUUUCUUUUUGUUCCCGACUUUCAAUUUUUAGCCUUUCUAUAUGAUCUUGAAAUAUUUUUAUUUGUUGCAGCUUGAGCCCUAUUUCAAGUUCACAACUCAAUGGAGGUGGCAACAAAGUGGGAUCCUGUAGGCUAGAAAACUUUAGAUGCAUCAAAGCAAGUAAUUGGCUUAC
rnacentral:lncRNA from 1 species